AUGGCCAGCCCGCCUGGGUCUCCGGCUCCUGGGCGGGGUCGCGGCGGGGGCGGAGCGCGUGCGAAGGCGACGCCCCCAUCCCCUCCGCCUGCCCCAUCAGCGCCCUCGCGGCAGCUGAGCCUAAGGAGGCGACGGGCCCGGGUCUCGCCGCGGCCCCCUCCUUCCCCGCCGCCUCCGAGGCAGGCGGCUGCUCCCACGUGGGGAUGCUGCUGCUCUGGCCGUGAGCGCCCACCGGGCCGCGCACCUGGAGGCGAGCGCAUGCAUGGGGAGCCUCCGUUGAUGCCGCCCCGCUGCCGCCGCGCCGCCCUCCGAGGCUGCGUCCCGGGAAGCCCGGCUCCCCGAGCGCUCUGGCCCGGCGCCCGGGACCUGAGUGCGUCCUGUUGGAGGCGCCCGGACCGGCCCAGGCGGCCGCGGAGGAGAGCGACUCCCAAGAGGUGGCGGAGGAGACCUCCGUCGGAUCGCCCGCGCUUUUCCCCAGCCCCGAGGCGCGGUCACCGGAGCCGCCCGCCUACCGGCUGCAGGACUUCGACACGCUGGCCACCGUGGAGAUGGAGUUUGACCCUGUCACCCAGGCUGGGAUGCAGUGGUACGAUCUUGGCUCACUGCAACCCCUGCCUCCCAGGUUCAAGUGAUUCUCCUGACUCAGCCUCCCGAGUAGCUGGGAAUACAGCCAGCUGCCCAGUUGCUGGAGUCUUCCCUGCACUGCAACGUCCAAGACGCACCUUUUUCAGAGGAAGGCACCGUGGAGGACACUUUUCACGGAAAAAUGUGCUCCUUGUGGACUUCUGUGGCCUUCUGCCAACGACAGCUUGAAAGGAGAGCGGCAGAGGCAGUCUCUGGGCCCCAGACCCGAUAACUCUGCUUUUGGGGUGGGUACUGCCAUUGUCCACCCAGUGGCUGUCUCAACCCUUCUACCUUGUACCUCGUGAUUCAUUCGUGUGGUCAGUUAACAAGUGAGCGCAAAGCGAAAACGUUUUCCAACACUUAAAAAUCAAGGAAAAAGAAAGGGAGGGCCAGCUAUGGUUUUUCCACUCAAAACACUGAGGAAUGAUGUCAAAUUACGUUUGCAGUUUUUCAGGGAUAUGCUUAAUCAAAGAAUAUUGAACGCAGUAAGAAAGAGAAGAAAACACUCUUUGAAGCAAGACAUUGGAUUCCAUUUAUUGAUUUAUUCAUUUAUUCAUUCAUCCGUCCUUCCCGAAGUGCGGGGAUUACAGGCAUGAACCGCUGCUCCCUGCCCGGAGAUUCCAUGUAGAGAUAUUUCAAUAGAGAUUUACAAUCUGGGGGGUGGGGGGAACCGACAGGAGAGAAGUCAGCAUCCGUGCGGCCGUUAUUUUUUGCGCUAAACAUCACGUGGUUCUCUUGGCCUUUGGUUUUCUGUAUUUUCCAAGCUUGGUUUCACCAUGCUAAAGGCUCUUGAUAGGUUUCCAGGCUACAGGAUGCUUGGGGAUCAAAACGGCAUGGAGUUGGAAUGUUUGCAAACCUCACUGCAGAGCCAAGCCUCCCAUGGGCAGUUUGCAUUUUCCCAGUAGGAAGCCGCCUCCCUUCUCCUUUAAGUCCCCUAGGUCUCAGUUUCUGCGUCUGGCCAAAGGGGAUGACAGUGAGGAAGGCAAAAGUGGCAGCUGGGGCAAAGCAGGAGGCAGCCAGCAGCGGGGCUCCGCAAAAAAAUUACUCGCGGGCUGGCCCAGACGCGUAACACUUUUAGGUGAUCUCUGUGGGCCGUAGAGCGUCGGGCGGCCGGUUAGCUCAAUUGGUGAGCUCUUGGUGCUCAACACCCCAAGGCCGCAGGUUCGACUCUAGGCUGUCACGGUGUGUUCCCCGGGCAUGCGAGCUCGACUCCCGGUUUCACGCCGGCCGCCCCAGUGUUUUUUUUUUUUUUUGGUCUGUCAACGGGCCUUUCAACUACCGGAAGCCGCCUGCGGGCAGGAGCAAACUGCGGAAUCCUUGGACUUGGCCCAGAGGUUGUCGAGGGCAGCCCGCUGCGGAGAGCGGGAGGAACGUGGUGCGCGCAGGCGCAGUGGGUCCUCACCGAAGUCCCCGUAGCUGGUGCGAAGGGAGAGAGGCAGCCGCUGGCGCAGGCUCAGUAAGGAUUCGCUCGUGGGCCGGGGCGCGCUUGAAGCCCUUUUAGAGGCUCCAGUGGCCCCGCCCCGCGCCGGGCGGUCGGUUAGCUCAGUUGGUAAGAGCGUGGUGCUGAUAACACCAAGGUCGCGGGUUCGACUCCCGCACCGACCACAGUUCGAGCUUUUUUUCCCCCUCCCCCGACCCACGAACUGGUGAUAGAAGCCUUUGUGAAAAUGCGCCUUUCCGGUAUUGUAAGCGGCAUGCGGGCCGGAGCGGAUUGCCAGAUCUCUUGGACUCGGCUGGGAGCUUGUGGAAGGCUGCCUACUGGGGAGAGCGGGAGAAACCCUGUGUGCUGCAGGGGCACCACCUCCCCACCUCAGUCUCUGUCCCCGCCGCCCCCGGUGGGGCCUGUUUUACAACACCUUUGCUUAGGCCUUUGACGUUUCUGGUUUUCUAGGGGCCUCGGGAAAUCCGAAUACAUGCACAUCCCCAGCCCCCCGCCUCUGCCCCCAUCCUACCCUCCCCGCGCGUUUCCUGAAGCUGAGGCUUGCCUGGAGGAACCACCCAGUGAAGACAAGUGCUCCCAGAUGUCACGUCACCGCCUGGUGUUCCCUGGGCCUCCUUCUGGGGUACUGUUAGGGUUGAAAAUCCAGCUGGGGAAUGCACGCGUUGCACAGGUGCCUAGCGAGGGCUCCCGCGUGCCCAGCACCGAUCUAGACGGGGAGCAAAACGGUAAGUGGGACACAGAUGCCACCCACGUGGAGACAGUGACCAGCCAGUAGACGACCCGCCAUGUUUUUAGAGAGGCGUUGUGGUUGUGGAAGCCUCUGGCUUUUUUUUUUCCCCCUCAUUUCUUUUCAGAGACGUCUUCGGCUUUUCGUUUCUUCCUCUUGCGUCUGCAUUUAGCAGCCCGAGCAAGUGGAUGAAUUUCUCACUGCUGGAUCAUGUUUCCUGGUGGUCAGGGUUUUCAGGUGAAGAAACGUCAGUUAUAUAGGGUCAAUCCCAUUUUAUUGCAGGAUCCAGCAUGGCCUUUAGCUGUUUUUGAAAAUUCUCCGGUAGAAAUGUCUAGUAGCUCUUACCUAAGUAAGUAGCAGCUCCAAAUCUACACACCACUGGCUUAAGCCCUUGGUAUGCACCCAGGUUGUAGUAAAAGUUCUCAAUACAUGCCGGCGGAUGACGCUGCAAUUAUAAGCAAAAUUACAAGAGCCAGGCUUGGCCGACACCUAAAAUAGAAACCUGUACACAAGUUGGAUAUCACAUCCUGUAAUAGUAAUGCCUGGCACCUUGUUAUAUGCAGGAACAGAGCACGGAGGAUUUGGACGUUGCUGUCCUCAAGUUUCCUGAGUUUGAAGGACUUUAGAGCAUGCCACGGUGGCAUGAGAAUUAUUUUGAGCAGAAGGCAUUUGAAUUCCUGAGAUCUGUUAUCUGCUGACAAGCAGACCUUCCCAGAAGAUCUCAAAAGAACUCAAUUGUCAUAAAUCUCUUCUUGGGAAGCAACUAGGAAACACUGAUGUGGCCCCGGCGCAGUAGCUCAUGCUUGUAAUCCCACCACUUUGGGAGGUCAAGGCAAGUGGAUCAUCUGAGUUCAGGAGUUGGAGACAAACCGGGCAACACAGUGAUAUGCAUUGUCCUAGGCCCACCCACAAACGUUUGGAUUUUAAACGUUUCUACUAAAAAUACAAAAAUUAGCUAGGCAUGGUAGUACAUGCCUGUAGUCCCAGCUACUCCUCCUAAGCCCAGGAGUUUGAGGUUGUGGUGAGCUGAUUUCAUGCCACCACACUCCAGCCUGGACAAUAGAGUGAGACCCCCGUCCCCCCAAAAAAUUGUAGUAAGAUAUCCAUAACAUUAAAUUCACCAUUAAAAAAUAGCAGGGAGCAGGGAACAUCACACAGUUGGCUGGGGUAUGUUGGGGGGUGGCAGGCAAGGGGAGGGAUAGCGGGGUGGGGGAAGGUUGGGGGGGGUUAACAGUGGGAGAAAUGCCUGAGGUAGGUGAUGGGGGUAUGGAGACAGCAAACCACCAUGGCAUGUGUGUACCUAUGUAACAAUCCCGCAAUAUCUGCACAUGUAUCCCAGAACUUAAAGGACAAUUUUUUAAAAAGCAGGGAGCAUUGUGAAUGCAAGGUAUUGAUGAGGAGGGUGGUGAUCUUCCAGAACCUUCUCUGACAUCAGCCUGGCCCUCAUCCCUACCUUUUCUGGCUUCAUGGUGCUCAUCAUACUGUGCUACAAGUGCCAGUUUCCUCCUCACCUAGACGGUAUACCCCAGAGUGGGGACGGCUACUCACCCACCAGGUGCUUAAUAAGUGUUGGCCAGUGGACCUCCUGCUCUCCCUGGGGAGAGGAACUGGAACAUGUGUACACACCUGCAGCUGCAAGACUCGGUUGGGAGGGUGCACAAAGAGCCUCGACCCUGUAAGAAAGAGAGGUGGUCAGGCUGAGGAGGACAGGUCACUGGAGUUGGAUGGGUGGGACAGACGUGGAGAGGGCGGGUUCAUUCGUUUGUUCACUAAUUCAUGUAUUGGCUUCUAUGCAUCCAUCUUUCAUGCCUUAAGCAUGCGUUCUGGGCAGGGCCUGUGGUGGGCACCGAAUGAGUAAUAUAUCAUCUCUCCCUUCAAGAUGCACCCAGUCUCGGUGGGUGAGGGGAGAUACAGCAGCGUGACAUGGGAACAAUUUGGGGGUUGGGAAGCACUCUUGUUAAAAAUUCAAACUUUGGGUCCUGUCUCAGAUCUUUAAUCCAAACGUUUGUGGGUGGGCCUAGGACAAUGCAUAUCCAGACAGGAUCCUUCACUGAUUGGGUUGCACGAUGACGUCAGAACACUUGGAUAACUUUUGGGCCAAGUACUUUGGAACCUCAAAGAUCUCCGCCUAGGAGAUCCGGGUCAGCCCCCGGAGGAGGUGAAAUCUGAGUGUUAAAC
rnacentral:tRNA from 1 species